AUUCAAAUAGCUUAUUUAGAGCAUAAUAUUGAAGAUAUUAAGGAAAUUUUAAAAUUUUUGAAUA
rnacentral:tRNA from 1 species